rnacentral:rRNA from 1 species
GACGAACGCUGGCGGCGUGCCUAAUACAUGCAAGUCGAACGCUUCUUUCCUCCCGAGUGCUUGCACUCGAUUGGAACGAGGAGUGGCGGACGGGUGAGUAACACGUCGGUAACCUACCCAUCAGCGUGGGAUAACACUUGGAAACAGGUGCUAAUACCGCAUAACAGUUUAUGCCGCAUGGCAUAAGAGUGAUAGGCGCUCUCGGGUGUCGUUGAUGGCUGGACCCGCGGUGCAUUAGCUAGUUGGUGAGGUAACGGCUCACCAAGGCCACGAUGCAUAGCCGACCUGAGAGGGUGAUCGGCCACACUGGAACUGAGACACGGCCCAGACUCCUACGGGAGGCAGCAGUAGGGAAUCUUCGGCAAUGGACGAAAGUCUGACCGAGCAACGCCGCGUGAGUGAAGAAGGUGUUCGGAUCGUAAAACUCUGUUGUUAGAGAAGAACAAGUACGUUAGUAACUGAACGUCCCCUGACGGUACCUAACCAGAAAGCCACGGCUAACUACGUG